rnacentral:rRNA from 1 species
UAGGCGGACGGGUGAGUAAUGUCUGGGAAACGUGCCCGAUGGAGGGGGAUAACUACUGGAAACGGUAGCUAAUACCGCAUAACGUCGCAAGACCAAAGAGGGGGACCUUCGGGCCUCUUGCCAUCGGAUGUGCCCAGAUGGGAUUAGCUAGUAGGUGGGGUAAAGGCUCACCUAGGCGACGAUCCCUAGCUGGUCUGAGAGGAUGACCAGCCACACUGGAACUGAGACACGGUCCAG